rnacentral:tRNA from 1 species
GCCUGGGUGGCUCAGUCGGUUGAGCGUCUGACUUCGGCUCAGGUCACGAUCUCACGGUCUGUGAGUUCGAGCCCCGCAUCGGGCU